rnacentral:lncRNA from 1 species
AGGCAAGAUCGUCGGAGCAGGAGGGACGUAGUCAGUUAAAUUGCUUUGAUUGAUAGGGGGCAAAGAAAAAAAAAAGCAUGCGAGAAGGAGAAAGACAUCCGGGCUGGGGUUGGCUGCAGGCAGAAGAAAUGAAACAAACUCCUAGUCAUGUACGACGCGCGGCACACACACAGAGAGGGGCGCCGUUGCACGGUACGGUUCUCGUGAAGGUACAUGUAACAUGUAUGACGGCUUGGGUUUCUUUGUUUGGGCUAACCACCCCAUUUAGGUCCUAAAAGUUUGGUUUUGGCGGUUCCAUUUUUUUUUUCAGAUGGCUACUUCUGUGGUGUGGCUCGGAAAGGA